AACCGAAGUUGUUUAAGUGUAUUAUUCAAGGUUGUUUGACACCUGAUUGAUACAACGUAUGGUACAUAAGCAAAUGCAAAUACAUGUGCAUAACACGUAUAUGCAUAUAUACAUAUGUGUAUGUAUAGCUUACUUAAGCGAACAAUUAAAUUUAUGUAUACCGAUACGAGACCAUUCAUAAUUAAACAAAAAGGCAAAAUAGAAUAAAAGGAAUAAAUCAAAGUGACAAUUACUUUUGCUUAUAUAAAAUAAUAAUUUAUGUGUUUGUGUUUGUUUAUGAGCUUAUACGACAACUAACGUGUAUGUAUAUAUACAUAUGCGUGUAUGUAUUGGUUUUUGCUUUACUUUGUUUUAUUUUUUUUGUUUGCUUGCUUGCUUGUUUCCUUGCUUGUUCGUUUGUUUGUUUAUUUAUUUAUUUUUUUUUUUUUUUUUGAUAACAAGGCUAAAGAAUGCUUAGAAAUGUAAAAAAAAUUUAUCUUUCUGGAACAAUUAUAGAAAAAAAUAUAAUAAAACAUCCACAAAACAAUUUAACACAUUUUAAUACAUUUUUAAAAAGUGAUGAGAUAUGUGUUUACCAUUUUUUUAAGCCUAAUAAAAAUUUUAUAGGCUGUAAAAAUAAAAAUAAAAAAUUUAAUUAUGAAUAUGAAAAUUUUAACAAUAAAUUAACUCUAACCAAUAGCCAUUUAAAUGGCAACAAGAAUUAUAACUAUAAUUCGUUUUGUUUAAAUAAAUAUAAUUUUUCUAAUGUGGGCAUAAAACGCUACUUUAUAUUAAAAAGAGCAAAUGCAUAUGAAAAAAAUGCAUAUCCGUUUUAUAAUAAAGCUUUCUUUUCUACAAUAAAUAAACCAGAAAAAAAUGAAAAGAAGCAAAAUUGGAAUGACAAAAAAACAGACAAGUGCAAAGACAGUAAUGAUGUUGAAGGAGGUGAAAACAAAAUCACUAAUCAGGCGGACAAAAAUGGUGGUACAACGCAUGGUAACACGAUCCACAGUAAUGCACAUGUGGGUGGUGAACAAAACCAACAUGAUACCACUAAACUAAUAAAUAAAAACAGAAAUUUAAAAAAGUUUAAUUUAUUCAAUGACCAUUCUUUAUUAGUAACAAAAAAGAUUAAAGACAUAUUAACCAAAUUAAAAAACAAACAUAAUUAUAAAAUAGUUAUGAAAAGAAUUCAAAAAGAAAAACAAAAAAUAAAUUAUAUUUUAGCAAAAUAUAAUAAGAAAGCUGAAAAAUUAAAACUAUAUUCUAAGGAACAUAUAUAUAGAACAGCAAUAAUGAAUACGAAAAAAAAAAUUUUCAACUUUUUAAAAAGAAAUAACAGUAAUAAUAAUAAUAAUAUUACUAUUGGUAAUAAUAUAAAAGACAAUAAUCAUAUUAAUACAAAGAGUAACAGAUUUUUUAUGAAUAUAUAUUAUGAAGAAAAAACAAAAUAUAAAUUAAGGAAAGAAAAAUUAUUUAAAGCACAACAAGAAUUUAUUAACAAAUCAAAAAUAGCACAAUCAAGAUUAAAAGCAUUUUUUAAAAAAUAUGGUUAUGUUGGUAUCGGGACAUAUUUUUCUGUUUUUUUAAUAACUUUUAGUUGUUCUUAUUUAUGUGUACAUUUUAAAUAUAUAUCACUAUCUGAGUUAACUUAUUAUGCAGAGAAAAUGCACUUAAGUAAAUAUAUUAACGAAGAUUUACAUAAAAAAAUAGACUCUUUAUGGGGAGAACUUAUAUUUGCAUAUAUAGCAUCGAAAAUAACAGAGCCAAUUAGGAUACUGAUUACUAUUAUUAUAACACCAUACAUAGCAAAAAUAAUCAGAUUGAAAAAAGGAAGUAGACUCAAAUCUUAAUAGUUUUAAAAAUAUUUUUUUUAACGCUUAUUGCAAAAAGUAAAAAAUUCAAACAGAACAUGGACAUGGACACACAUGGUUAUAAAAAUAUAUAGUUUUUUGUUUAUUAAAAUUUUUUUUUUUUUUCUUUUUUCUUUUAAAUCUCAACUUAUAGUGAAA
rnacentral:lncRNA from 1 species